CCUACGGGUGGCAGCAGUGGGGAAUAUUGGGCAAUGGGCGAAAGCCUGACGCAGCAACGCCGCGUGAAGGAAGAAGGAUUUCGGGUUGUAAACUUCUAUUCGCAGGGACGAAGAAAGUGACGGUACACUAGGAAUACGCCACGGUUAACUACGAGGCAGCAGCCGCGGUAAUACGUAGGUGGCAAGCGUUAUGCGGAUUUAUUGGGAGUAAAGGGCGUGUAGGCGGGGGCGAUAGUCAGAUGUGAUAACUCAGGGCGCAACGCUGGGCCUGCAUUUGAAACUGUGUUUCUUGAGUGCUGGAGAGGCAAUCGGAAUUGCGUGUGUAGCGGUGAAAUGCGUAGAUAUUCGGAGGAACACCAGUGGCGAAGGCGGAUUGCUGGACAGUAACUGACGCUGAGGCGCGAAAGCGUGGGGAGCAAACAGGAUUAGAUACCCGAGUAGUC
rnacentral:rRNA from 1 species